UGGGUAACCUGCCUCAAAGAGGGGAAUAGCCUCCCGAAAGGGAGAUUAAUACCGCAUAAUAUGUUUUGAUCGCAUGAUUGAGACAUCAAAGGAAUUUCUUCGGAAAUUCCACUUUGAGAUGGACCCGCGGCGCAUUAGCUAGUUGGAGAGGUAACGGCUCACCAAGGCGACGAUGCGUAGCCGACCUGAGAGGCGAUCGGCCACACUGGACUGAGACNCGCCAGACUCCG
rnacentral:rRNA from 1 species